rnacentral:rRNA from 1 species
CACACGACCGUACCGCAAACCGACACUGGUGCGCGAGAUGAGUAUUCUAAGGCGCUUGAGAGAACUCAGGAGAAGGAACUCGGCAAAUUGACACCGUAACUUCGGAAGAAGGUGUGCCUUUAGUAGGUGAAGGGAUUUACUCCUGGAGCCCAAUGAGGUUGCAAAUAAUCGGUGGCUGCGACUGUUUAAUAAAAACACAGCACUCUGCAAACACGAAAGUGGACGUAUAGGGUGUGACGCCUGCCCGGUGCUGGAAGAUUAAAUGAUGGGGUGCAAGCUCUUGAUUGAAGUCCCAGUAAACGGCGGCCGUAACAAUAACGGUCCUAGGGUAGCGAAAUUCCUUGUCGGGUAAGUUCCGACCUGCACGAAUGGCGUAACGAUGGCCACACUGUCUCCUCCUGAGACUCAGCGAAGUUGAAAUGUUUGUGAUGAUGCAAUCUCCCCGCGGAAAGACGGAAAGACCCCAUGAACCUUUACUGUAGCUUUGUAUUGGACUUUGAACAGAUCUGUGUAGGAUAGGUGGGAGGCUUUGAAGUAGGGUCGCUAGGUCUUAUGGAGCCAACGUUGAAAUACCACCCUGGUGUGUUUGAGGUUCUAACCUAGGCCCGUUAUCCGGGCUGGGGACAGUGCAUGGUAGGCAGUUUGACUGGGGCGGUCUCCUCCCAAAGCGUAGCGGAGGAGUUCGAAGGUACGCUAGUUACGGUCGGACAUCAUGACGAUAGUGCAAUGGCAUAAGCGUGCUUAACUGCGAGACUGACAAGUCGAGCAGAUGCGAAAGCAGGACAUAGUGAUCCGGUGGUUCUGUAUGGAAGGGCCAUCGCUCAACGGAUAAAAGGUACUCUGGGGAUAACAGGCUGAUACCGCCCAAGAGUUCAUAUCGACGGCGGUGUUUGGCACCUCGAUGUCGGCUCAUCUCAUCCUGGGGCUGUAGCCGGUCCCAAGGGUAUGGCUGUUCGCCAUUUAAAGAGGUACGUGAGCUGGGUCUAAAACGUCGUGAGACAGUUUGGUCCCUAUCUUCCGUGGGCGCUGCAGAUUUGAGGAAGCCUGCUCCUAGUACGAGAGGACCGGAGUGGACACACCUCUGGUGUAUCGGCUGUCACGCCAGUGGCAUUGCCGAGUAGCUAAGUGUGGAAGAGAUAACCGCUGAAAGCAUCUAAGCGGGAAACUCGUUUCAAGAUGAGAUCUGCCGGGGCCUUGAGCCCCCUAAGAGUCGUUCAAGACCAGGACGUUGAUAGGUCAGGUGUGGAAGCGCAGUAAUGCGUUAAGCUAACUGAUACUAAUUGCUCGUGCGGCUUGACC